UGAGUAACCUGCCCUCCACUCUGGGAUAAGCCCGGGAAACUGGGUCUAAUACCGGAUAUGACCUCCUGUCUCAUGGCGGGUGGUGGAAAGUUUUUUCGGUGGGGGAUGGACUCGCGGCCUAUCAGCUUGUUGGUGAGGUAAUGGCUUACCAAGGCGACGACGGGUAGCCGGCCUGAGAGGGUGACCGGCCACACUGGGACUGAGACACGGCCCAGACUCCUACGGGAGGCAG
rnacentral:rRNA from 1 species